AUUGAACGCUGGCGGCAGGCCUAACACAUGCAAGUCGAGCGGAUGAAGGGAGCUUGCUCCUGGAUUCAGCGGCGGACGGGUGAGUAAUGCCUAGGAAUCUGCCUGGUAGUGGGGGAUAACGUCCGGAAACGGGCGCUAAUACCGCAUGCGUCCUGAGGGAGAAAGUGGGGGAUCCUCGGACCUCACGCUAUCAGAUGAGCCUAGGUCGGAUUAGCUAGUCGGUGGGGUAAAGGCCUACCAAGGCGACGAUCCGUAACUGGUCUGAGAGGAUGAUCAGUCACACUGGAACUGAGACACGGUCCAGACUCCUACGGGAGGCAGCAGUGGGGAAUAUUGGACAAUGGGCGAAAGCCUGAUCCAGCCAUGCCGCGUGUGUGAAGAAGGUCUUCGGAUUGUAAAGCACUUUAAGUUGGGAGGAAGGGCAGUAAGUUAAUACCUUGCUGUUUUGACGUUACCAACAGAAUAAGCACCGGCUAACUUCGUG
rnacentral:rRNA from 1 species